UACAGAGGUCUCAAGCGUUGUUCGGAUUCAUUGGGCGUAAAGGGUGCGUAGGUGGCGGGGUAAGUCUGGUGUGAAAUCUCGGAGCUCAACUCCGAAACUGCACUGGAUACUGCCUUGCUUGAGUAUUGGAGAGGAGAUUGGAAUUUACGGUGUAGCAGUGAAAUGCGUAGAUAUCGUAAGGAAGACCAGUGGCGAAGGCGAAUCUCUGGACAAUUACUGACACUGAGGCACGAAGGCCAGGGGAGCAAACGGG
rnacentral:rRNA from 1 species